GACGAACCGUGCGAACGUUAUUCGGAAUCACUGGGCUUAAAGCGUGUGUAGGCGGAUCGUUAAGUACCUUGUGAAAUCCCACGGCUCACCCGUGGAACUGCUGGGUAUACUGGCGAUCUUGGGCCAACUAGGGGCAGCUGGAACAAGCGGUGGAGCGGUGAAAUGCGUAGAUAUCGCUUGGAACGCCAAAGGUGAAAACAGGCUGCUGGGGUUGUGCCGACGCUGAUGCGCGAAAGCCAGGGGAGCGAACGGG
rnacentral:rRNA from 1 species